rnacentral:tRNA from 1 species
AAGAUUUUAAAUUAAUAAAACUAAUAACCUUCAAAGUUUUAAAUAAAAUUAAAUUUUUAAAUCUUA